rnacentral:tRNA from 6 species
GCCGAUGUGGCUCAGGGGUAGAGCAGCUCACUCGUAAUGAGCAGGUCGUCGGUUCGAAUCCGACCAUCGGCUCCA